rnacentral:rRNA from 1 species
UACAGAGGUCUCAAGCGUUGUCCGGAUUUAUUGGGCGUAAAGCGCGCGUAGGCGGCCCGGAAAGUCGGAUGUGAAAUCCCGGGGCUCAACCCCGGGCCUGCAUCCGGUACUCCCGGGCUGGAGGCAGGUAGGGGGAGAUCGGAAUUCCUGGUGUAGCGGUGAAAUGCGCAGAUAUCAAGGAGGAACACCAACGGCGAAGGCAGCUCUCUGGGACGUUACUGACGCUGAGACGCGAAAGCGUGGGGAGCAAACAGG